AUUGAACGCUGGCGGCAGGCUUAACACAUGCAAGUCGAGCGGAGUGAUGGUGCUUGCACUAUCACUUAGCGGCGGACGGGUGAGUAAUGCUUAGGAAUCUGCCUAUUAGUGGGGGACAACAUCUCGAAAGGGAUGCUAAUACCGCAUACGUCCUACGGGAGAAAGCAGGGGAUCACUUGUGACCUUGCGCUAAUAGAUGAGCCUAAGUCGGAUUAGCUAGUUGGUGGGGUAAAGGCCUACUAAGGUGACGAUCUGUAGCGGGUCUGAGAGGAUGAUCCGCCACCCUGGGACUGAGACACGGCGCAGCCUCCUCCGGGAGGCAGCAGUGGGGAAUAUUGGACAAUGGGGGGAACCCUGAUCCAGCCAUGCCGCGUGUGUGAAGAAGGCCUUAUGGUUGUACAGCACUUUAAGCGAGGAGGAGGCUCUUUUGGUUAAUACCCAAGAUGAGUGGACGUUACUCGCAGAAUAAGCACCGGCUAACUCUGUGCCAGCAGCCGCAGUAAAAC
rnacentral:rRNA from 1 species